ACCUGGUUGAUUCUGCCAGUAGUCAUAUGCUUGUCUCAAAGAUUAAGCCAUGCAUGUCUAAGUAUAAGCGUAUACAAAGUGAAACUGCGAAUGGCUCAUUAAAUCAGUUAUAGUUUAUUUGAUGAAGAAAAAGCUACAUGGAUAACUGUGGUAAAUCUAGAGCUAAUACAUGCCUUGUAAUGCCCCGACUUCGGAAGGGGUGCAUUUAUAGAUUAAAUCCAAUGCCUUCGGGCUUUGGGGAGUCAUAAUAACUUUACAAUCGCAUGGCUAGUCCCGGCGAUGCUUCAUUCAAAUAUCUGCCCUAUCAACUUUGAUGGUACGGUAGUGCCUACCAUGGUUGUAACGGGUAACGGGGAAUAAGGGUUCGAUUCCGGAGAGGGAGCCUGAGAAACGGCUACCACAUCCAAGGAAGGCAGCAGGCGCGCAAAUUAUCCAAUCCCGACACGGGGAUAGUGACAAAAAAUAACGAUACAGGGCUUUUUAAAGGUCUUGUAAUUGGAAUGAGUACAAUUUAAAUCCCUUAACGAGGAACAAUUGGAGGGCAAGUUUGGUGCCAGCAGCCGCGGUAAUUCCAACUCCAAUAGCGUAUAUUAAAGUUGUUGCAGUUAAAAAGCUCGUAGUUGAAUUUGGGCCCCGGCUGGGUGGUCCGCCGCAAGGCGUGUACUGCCUUUCAAGCUGGGGCUUACUCCCAUUGGUGAACUCUGGUGAGUCUUUGGCUCGCCAGGGGAACCAGGGAAUUUACUUUGAAAAAAUUAGAGUGUUCAAAGCAGGCCUAACGGCUCGAAUAGAUUAGCAUGGAAUAAGGGAAUAGGACGUUGCGAUCCUGUUUCGUUGGUUUUAAGGAUCGCCGUAAUGAUCAAUAGGGACAGCUCGGGGGCAUUAGUAUUCACAAGCUAGAGGUGAAAUUCUUGGAUUUUGUGAAGACUAACUUCUGCGAAAGCAUUUGCCAAGGAUGUUUUCAUUAAUCAAGAACGAAGGUUAGGGGAUCGAAAACGAUUAGAUACCGUUGUAGUCUUAACAGUAAACUAUGCCAGCUAGGGAUCGGUCGGCGCUUUAAUUUACUAUGGCCCGAUCGGCACCUUUGCGAGAAAUCAAAGCAUUUGGGUUCUGGGGGGAGUAUGGUCGCAAGGCUGAAACUUAAAGAAAUUGACGGAAGGGCACCACCAGGAGUGGAGCCUGCGGCUUAAUUUGACUCAACACGGGGAAACUCACCAGGUCCAGACAUAAGAAGGAUUGACAGAUUGAUAGCGC
rnacentral:rRNA from 1 species